AGUGAAGUCAGCUAAUCAAGCUCUUGGGCCCAUACCCCGAAAAUGUUGGUCAUAAACCUUCCUUCACUA
rnacentral:tRNA from 1 species